rnacentral:rRNA from 1 species
AGUGAACGCUGGCGGUAGGCCUAACACAUGCAAGUCGAACGGCAGCACAGUAAGAGCUUGCUCUUACGGGUGGCGAGUGGCGGACGGGUGAGGAAUACAUCGGAAUCUACUUUUUCGUGGGGGAUAACGUAGGGAAACUUACGCUAAUACCGCAUACGACCUACGGGUGAAAGCAGGGGAUCUUCGGACCUUGCGCGAUUGAAUGAGCCGAUGUCGGAUUAGCUAGUUGGCGGGGUAAAGGCCCACCAAGGCGACGAUCCGUAGCUGGUCUGAGAGGAUGAUCCGCCACACUGGAACUGAGACACGGUCCAGCCCCCUACGGGAGGCAGCAGGGGGGAAUUUUGGAAAAUGGGCGCAAGCCUGAUCCAGCCAAACCGGGGGGGUGAAGAAGGCCUUCGGGUUGUAAAGCCCUUUUGUUGGGAAAAAAAAGCAGCAGGUUAAUACCCCGCUGUUUUGACGGUACCCAAAGAAUAAGCACCGGCCAACUUCGU